GGGCACAGGGCAUGAUGGGAAGGGGGCACAGGGCAGGCAUGAGAAGACCCUCCCUGCAGCCGAUGGCGGUGGCGGUGGGUUCUGUUGGGGGCAAGGCUCAGAUUCUGGUGUGAGUAAAGAAAGCACUGACUAGGAGUCCUAACUAAUCCUGAGCAAAGAGACUGCUGGCAACACUCUAUUCACUGCAGACAGGAUGGUGGCUGCAGUGACGCCUUGCUGAUAACGGAGGAGACUACACUAGGAAACCCAAAGACUUGGGGGACAGAGAGAGAUUAAAGAAUUCAACCUGCUGUAUUUCCAGACCCCAGAAGUGAGAGUCAGCAGUUGUUACAGUGGAGUUCGUCUGGUGAACCGCCUGCUCUUCAGAUCCGCUUAUCAGGGACAGAGAACAGGGAAAUGCCACGGGCUCAUGAAUCAUCUACCCUCGUGCCUGGCAGGAAACUUCUAGUAAUUUAUACUUUCCAUCUGGAUGCAACUUAAAAGACUAAUUACCAGCGAUAGCAGUGAGCCUCCAUGAUUAAUGGACGAGGGUCUUAGGAGUGAGGCCAAGGAGGAGCCCGAAGUCAGCAUGACAACAGACAGAAAGUUUUCCUUGACGUAGCAGAUGCUACCUAGAGCUUGCGAUCUGAUAUGAGUGCCCUUGUUGAGUGAAUUAUUUAAAUUUCACUCCAAGACCAGUAAUUGAGUCUCAAAUGUCACUUGUUAUCUGUGGUAUCGCGCCUACCUCUUGAGUAACUGAAUUCAUAAAGAAGUUUCUGAAAGGAGGAAAAGGCCAUCUGGCCCACCCUGGUUACCAUUCACGGUUAAUUAUUAUUAAUAUUAAUAAUUUUAAAUACAAGCGUACACACCCCGAGGCGUCCACGCCCUCAGCAGGCGUUCUGUGUCAGUAAGCAUUGCUGAACCACGCACCGAGCUGAGGAAGUAAUUAGCUGCUAAGUCCCGCUGAAAAGAAUUUAAUCAAAAUACAAGUUGAGCCCCUGUACAGUGUAGAAUGACCUUUUCCUGAAGGCCCAUAUAUUUUCCGCCCCCAUCUUCUCACCAUAUCCAAUUCCCAUUGCCCUUUGAAGUCAGGGUCACCUUCAAAGUCUGAAGACAAGAGAUGGAAACUUGGAAGCAGAGUGCAUCCCUCUAGCUAGAUCCCAGCUAACUUCUGGAGAAGCACACUGAUGGGUCUCUUGGAAACGCCACAGAACUUGCUUUAGAGCAUCUUCCUUCCUGGCAAAGCUUGCCUAAUAGUGCCUAUUUGAUUUACUUUCAAAAUAGUUCAUUGUUCACACACAGUAGGUAUGUAUUUGGUUCCAGGUUAACUUGGGGGAGUUCUAUGGAUUAAUUAAAAUUGCAUUAAUCAGUAGUCCAAUUGGGGGAUCAAUUGGGUUUAUCAUUUAAACCACUGUCGGGACCAUUCGUUUUCCCAUGCAUCAAAUGCAGACAACACUUCAGAAGUAACAGAGCACAGCGGAGCGGGAGACCGCAGCAGUAGCAGUGAUAGCUUUCUCUUUUCCCUGUUUGGCUCAUGUUUCUGUUUAUCUUCUAUAAUUGGGACUCCUGGGACGCAAGGGGAAGGGGCAUAACCCUUGUGUAUGGGUGCACAUGUGUGAGUAGCACACCCAUCCAUGUGUAUACGUGUGUGGAGAUAAGAAGACAACCAGAUCCCAUUCUCAGGAACCAUCCAAUCCCAGAUAGGGAACACGCCACAGAGACUAGACAGGCUGGUCAGUGAUCCCCAGAGAUUCACCUGUCUCCAGCCCCCCAGCAUGAAGAUUUCAACCAUGCCUCUGUUCGUUAAUGUGAAUUCUGGAAAUCGAGUUCAAGACCUGGACCAACUGAACUCUCUCCAGCUCUCCACACUGCUUCGACUGUCUCCCAGGACCUGCCCAUCACUAAACAGUUUCCCCAUCCUG